UUGGCCUGACUGUGAUGAAAAAUAAUGUUGGUAGGGACAUCUGAGAGAGAGUGAUGAAUGCCAACGUUUCUGAGCAGGCUGU